AUAGAUUCUCAAAAAACAAAAAACGUAUAUUACAAGGAGUGAGACAAAAAAUUGCACGGUUUAACAUCCGUUGAUUUUGGCGGUGGUUGCAUUGGUGUGGUAGUGGACGGUGUCAUUUGUUUCAGUGAUGACAAUUGUAGAUUCGGUGGUCUCAAAGGUGGAGGAGACAUGGUGGGUUCUAGCUCCGACGUAGCUUUAAAGCUCACAUCCGAUGGUUCGGUGGCAACAUCGGUGGUGGGAAAAGAGCCGGAUCUCCGUUAUGUAGCUUUGGAAAGGGUGGCGGCUUCAGAGGUGGACAAAAUUGAUACAUUUUUUAAGAGGCGCAUUAUGCCUUCCUCAAUUAUCAGAAAUACAAGCC
rnacentral:lncRNA from 1 species